GACAGAGGGUGCAAACGUUGUUCGGAAUUACUGGGCGUAAAGCGCGUGUAGGCAGCUUGGCAAGUCGGGUGUGAAAGCCCUGGGCUUAACCUAGGAAGUGCACUCGAAACUGCUGGGCUUGAGUUCUGGAGAGGAAGGCGGAAUUCUCGGUGUAGAGGUGAAAUUCGUAGAUAUCGAGAGGAACAUCGGUGGCGAAGGCGGCCUUCUGGACAGUGACUGACGCUGAGACGCGAAAGCGUGGGGAGCAAACAGG
rnacentral:rRNA from 1 species